UUCCUGGCCCUUGUUCCCCGGGAACGCUCCUUUCGGACUGGCUACGGGUGGUUGGUUGGCCAGAGCACCGUCUUACUAAUUCGGAACGAUGAAGGGGAGGCCACUUAGAGAGAAGGCGUUUCCAGCGGAGGAGGCUUCGUGACUCCUAGCUUCCUGCCUGUGCUCUUGUCCCGCACCCACCUGCCCACCCAUUACUCGGGACGUCGCGCCCUCGAGUUUUAUUCUGGGUGGAGAGGGCGCCUCCCCCGCUAGCUCUGCCUCUCCAGUUCUUCAGUGUCUCCGCUGUCAUCACAUUCCAGUUCCCCGAGGGCUUGAGUACUUGAACACUCCAGACAAAAGGUUUGACAAGACUGGGUGGGCCGGGCCAGGCCCUUCACUUACGAAAAGGAGAGACAAUUCCAAAUGGCCCUGCUCAGGAGUUAGCUACACGAGGAGGGGUAAUCCAGCACAGAGAAGCACACGGAGGUCUCUGGGCUACAAAGAGUGGUCUCAAAGCCUUUCCCCUCCUUUAACUACCCACCCUACAGCCUUUUGAGAUACUAAGAAGAUUGUUAGAGGGAUUUUACUAGAACAAUUAAUCAACUAUGGAAUUCCUUGCCAACAAAACAUUUUGAUGAGAUACCCUUGGGAACAGAGUGGUUUGAGUUGAUCAAGAGGAAAAUAAGUGGCCUUGCUCCCAUUGUCCAGUUCCCCAGUGCCCACAUGACGUGGAGUGACCCUUGUGCCCUCCGGAGCUGCCCUGCCUCAGAACACGUGGACUGGAGACUGGGCUGUCUACCCCAUCUGGCCAUUCUGCCUUUCCCUCCAGAGCUGUUUUUUUGACCUUGAGACUUCCAGUCACCAACCCCCUCUCACUUCUUUCAGUUUAUUAGCUGUUUUUGGCUUCACUUAUUUCCUUUUGCAUUUAAUACCUGGGCUCGUCAUUUUGAAUAUAUUCUUCUAGUAGUUUCUUAACAAUCUCAAAAUUCAGGUCAAAGCAAUGGACAUUUUAUUGCACUUUGCUUUAAAGUCACUAAUAACGACUAAAGAAAAUCAAAUAAACCAGUCGAUUAGUCAUAUCUCCAAGGCAACAGUUGCCACAGCGGAGUACUCACUCACAGUUGCUCAUUCAUCGCAGGUUCGGUCUUGGUUGGCCCCCUUUCCCUUUCCCUGCAAAGACUGUCCAGACUUUCAUGGCUCUCUUCAAGACCCUCCUCAGCUCCAACCCUGCCACUCUGAACCCUAGCUUCCUCUUCGGUGGUUGCUGGUCUACCGUUUAUCAGUGUUACCCCUUUGAGUCCUCACCCCGGUCCUUUCAGGGAGGCACUGGCAUUAUUCCUGGUUUACAGAUGCCCGAGAUCUUCAGGAAUGUAAGUGGUGGUGUGUGGAUCUGAUCUCAGGAAAUCUGCCUUCAACCUCACUCUUUCUCCCUGCACUG